rnacentral:rRNA from 1 species
UGGGGAAUAUUGGACAAUGGGCGAAAGCCUGAUCCAGCCAUGCCGCGUGUGUGAAGAAGGUCUUCGGAUUGUAAAGCACUUUAAGUUGGGAGGAAGGGCAUUAACCUAAUACGUUAGUGUUUUGACGUUACCGACAGAAUAAGCACCGGCUAACUCUGUGCCAGCAGCCGCGGUAAUACAGAGGGUGCAAGCGUUAAUCGGAAUUACUGGGCGUAAAGCGCGCGUAGGUGGUUUGUUAAGUUGGAUGUGAAAUCCCCGGGCUCAACCUGGGAACUGCAUUCAAAACUGACUGACUAGAGUAUGAUAGAGGGUGGUGGAAUUUCCUGUGUAGCGGUGAAAUGCGUAGAUAUAGGAAGGAACACCAGUGGCGAAGGCGACCACCUGGACUAAUACUGACACUGAGGUGCGAAAGCGUGGGGAGCAAACA